rnacentral:piRNA from 1 species
UUGCUUUAGAACGCUCACAGA